rnacentral:rRNA from 1 species
GUGCCAGCAGCCGCGGUAAUACGUAGGUCCCGAGCGUUGUCCGGAUUUAUUGGGCGUAAAGCGAGCGCAGGCGGUUUGAUAAGUCUGAAGUUAAAGGCUGUGGCUCAACCAUAGUUCGCUUUGGAAACUGUCAAACUUGAGUGCAGAAGGGGAGAGUGGAAUUCCAUGUGUAGCGGUGAAAUGCGUAGAUAUAUGGAGGAACACCGGUGGCGAAAGCGGCUCUCUGGUCUGUAACUGACGCUGAGGCUCGAAAGCGUGGGGAGCGAACAGGAUUAGAUACCCCGGUAGUCC